UGACCAUGGUCGGCAGUGAUCAGAAGGU
rnacentral:piRNA from 2 species